rnacentral:rRNA from 1 species
AUUGAACGCUGGCGGCAGGCCUAACACAUGCAAGUCGAACGAGUGGCGGACGGGUGAGUAAUGUCUGGGAAACUGCGCGAUGGAGGGGGAUAACUACUGGAAACGGGAGCUAAUACCGCAUACCAUCGGAUGUGCCCAGAUGGGAUUAGCGAGUGGGUGGGGUAACGGCUCACAGAGGCGACGAUCCCUAUCUGGUCUGAGAGGAUGACCAGCCACACUGGAACUGAGACACGGUCCAGACUCCUACGGGAGGCAGCAGUGGGGAAUAUUGGACAAUGGGCGCAAGCCUGAUGCAGCCAUGCCGCGUGUAUGAAGAAGGCCUUCGGGUUGUAAAGUACUUUCAGCGGGGAGGCGUUACUCGCAGAAGAAGCACCGGCUAACUCCGUGCCAGCAGCCGCGGUAAUUC